rnacentral:lncRNA from 1 species
GCAGCAGAUCCUUUCUUUCGGUUUAAUCUUUCCAAACUCCUAUUUUAUUUCUGUUUUAAUAAUGUGUAAUUAAAUUUAUUUUGGCUAGAGGUUAAUUCAAAGCCAUGAAUAUAUUUGUAAUAUGAAUUGAUUACCUUCGGUUGUGAUUUCAUAAGUUGUGAUUUCAAUUUACUUAUCCGUUCGUAUAAAAACUUAUUUGUGUAUGUUGGUUGAGAGUGCACGCUUAAUUUACAUGCAUGAAUUUGAUGCUAGAAUAUAAGUGAAUUUCACCUAAUCGUUAUGAACUUAUAUUCACAAGUAGUGAAGGUUGUUAUCCACAAUCGUGUUAAGUGAAUUCUUGGCAAGAGUAUCAUGCUUUUCAUAGUUACGAAUGUCUCGUCAAUGCUUAUAGUUUUCACAAAGUUUAAUGAUCUUUAAUUGUAUCUCUAUUGUGCUUUUCACGUAGGGGACUUUUGAAGAAUGUUUUGAAUUGUUGUAUGCGUUUUUCCCGUCCAAUUCAAUAACUUAAGGAAAACUUGAAGAUUAAAAAAGUGCUGUUCACGGUUAAUCUGAAGUGUUGAGAUUCACAAUUUAUUGAAAGAACAACUGAAAAUUAAUUUAGGUUGCAUAUGUGUCAUGUGUGGAGAAGAACCCUCUAGCUAGUCCGUCAUUUAUCAUUUUACCUUAAUUUUAUGUUUUUGUCAAUUCUGUAAUUUAAUUAAGUUUAAUUUACUUUUCAUCAAAACCAAACACCCAUCCAUUAUUAAAUUAUUUAGUUAGUUUUCUUUAUUGUUAGUCUUUUAAUUUAAUUUCCGUCCAUUUCAGUUCCUAGUGUUUAAUUUGAUUGUUUUCAUUAUUUUGAGUCAUUUUAAGUGUGUUUCGAGUUAUUAGAGUUUUUAGCCUUUGUAUCCUUGAGUCUUGUUUAAUAUUUUUAAAUUAAUUUAUAAUAGAUUAGCAAUCCCUCCUAAUCCCCGGCCUAGAACGAUACCCUACUUACAUCUAUACUACAAUUGUCAAAAAGAGGGUUUAAUUUGUGUGUCAAGUAAUUCUCACAUCAAAUUUUGGCGCCGUUGCCGGGGAUUAGCAACUUUGCUAAUCCUUUUAUUUUUGUUUUUGUUUAUGUUUAUAUUGGUGUUUGUGUAUUUUACUUUUGAUAUUUGAUUUAUUUUUUCUUUCUUUGAUUUUAGGUUCAAAUGGAGCCGAGGGAAAUUUAAAGGAAAGAUGCGUCCGGCUAAAGACGUUAAAUCAAGCGCUUCUUGGGAGGCAACCCAAGCAUUCAACGAAGGGAGACUUUGGAAUCACUAACCCAAUCAGCUUUGCAUUCUUCCACCCUUAUCUUUACUGCUUUCAUUUUGUUUUGUUUAGUUAGUUGUGUUAUUUGGUUGAUUUCUGUGAGUUUGUGUUAUUUAGUUUAAGUGUGGGGGAAGGUUAACCAAAGUCUCUUUACAUUAAUUUACAUAUAUAUAAAAAAAAAAAAAAAAAAAAAAAUUAAAAAAAAAAAAAAAAAAAAGUACAAAUAUUUUACAAUGAUGUAAACUAAUAGUAUUCAUUGGUCGGGUGGUGCUUCAGUAGUAGGCGGGGCUUCAGCAGUCGGCGGGGCCACAGAAGGAGGAGACGUCAGAGGUUGAUCAGUUGGAGCUUCACUACGCGGUGCCGCUCCAGAAGACGAAGGCAGAUGUUGUUGGAACAAACCCACAAACCUCCGAUGAUCAAGUAAAAUUUGACCAUCGGUGUCCUGCAUCUGGUCAAUCUUCCUCUUCAUGCUGGUGGCGUAGCUGUGUGCGAGCUUGUGCAAUUCUUUAUUCUCAUGCUUGAGCCCUUUAAUCUCUUGUUUGAGACUCUGUAUUUCAGCCACCAACGACUCAACAUGACGGGUUCGGGCAAAUAGGCGUUGGGCCAUGUUGGACACGGAACCGGCACACUGCACGCUAAGAGCCAGAGACUCCUUAACCGCCAAUUCAUCAGACCGUCUAGCGAGCAGUCUGUUAUCUCUUGGGGUGACAAGGUUCCGGGCCACCACCGCAGCUGUCAUAUCAUUUUUCAUCACCGAAUCCCCCACGGUAAGGGGACCGGUAGGGGAUAUGAAGGAUGGCCGCCAUAUGUUGUCUGGUGAAGGCGGAGCUGCCUCUUCACCAAUGUUCAAGUCAAAACGACGAUCAGAAGGGCCAGACAUUUUUCAGAGGUGGUGAAGAAAGAAGAGAGUCGGAAUGAUCAAGAUUAAACAAGUGCAAGAAUGGAGUGUUACAAGAGGGAGCUCAAAUGUGUUGUGGAACACAAUUAGCGCCUCUAUAAAAAGAAGAAAUCGGAGAGGCGCUCCUCAGAGAAGCGUCCUCUCGCAAAUCGAAGAGUCGGGGCUCCUUUCUCAAACGCCUGAUUCUUUUCUCAAAAGAGGAGUUUCCUUUCUCAAAAGCCGGAUUCUUUUCUCAAAAGAGGCGUUUCAUUUCUUAAAGGCUGGGCUUGCUCAGAAACCACGAGCCGAACCCCGGAUUUCAAAAGAUCAAUUUGUCCAGACAUGUCGUCACUUGUCACACGCAAAUUGCUUUGCGGAAAUCUCGGGCAGUUUGUCGUAGCACCAAUUCAGAAAUCAAAGAGGGAAAUUCAACAGUCAAAGACACACUAGCUUUCUCAAAAGCUGGGCUUCAACCCACGAGCAAAUCUUCUUUUCCUGAUUUAUCCGCACGUGUCACAUGCUACCUCUACAAUCGACGAUGCUCAGAGCUCGAUGCGCCGAUUCCAGAUAUCAAUGAAGAAUCUGCUUUGCGGAAAUCACGAAUAGCUGUUAAAAAAAAAAAAAAUUUAUGGUGAAGUGGGAAAGCACGUUGCACUGUUCUUCUACUCGUGUCGGUAACCCUGGGUUAAUUAAACAGUACCUCUACCAGCCAUUAAGAAAAUUCUUUAAAUGUUAAACUUCAUUGCAAAGUAGCCUCACUCAAAACUUCUUCAUCUCCGAGAAUGCAUUCCAAAAGAAUCCUCCUAAGUUACUCAGUGUUCCUAAUUCCUUGGGAUACUCUUGCGAACAACCCAUUCAAAGCAAAAGUAUUUCAUAUCAUAAAGGUUGAAAGCAAGAGUAUCUCAUAUCAUGCUUUCUCCCUGUCCUUUCUCCAGCCAGCACUUGCUCUCGAGUACUCAUCAUCUUGUGUUUCCUCUUCGUCUCUUACGUAUAAGGGAAGUGAAGAUGAUACCUCGAAGCAUGUGGAGACAACGUGCUGAUUCAUCCUCAACUAAGGACAAGGAGAAAGAGAGCAAGAUGUGGGCACUUGGAAAGAUUGAAGAAAGAAACAGACCAACACCUCUCCCUCGUGCCUGCCCGCCAUGCAGAGGAAACAAGCAGAGAAGAAUGCAGCUUGCACAAUCAUCCCAGCAGAAGGAGUCUGAGAUGAAGAACUAGAGAAGCUGCCACAUCUGCUUGGAGAACAAAUAAGGAACUGCAACAUUCCCAAAGAGCAAAGCUUCGCCGUACAAUAUCAUCAAAUCAUCACUUGCAAGUAAAAAGCUAAGUGUCACCCUGUUCAAGAGGAAAGCUGUGGAAAGUCAACAAGCACGACCAAUGAUUACUUAUUAGUUUUAUUCAUUAUCUUUUAUCGUAAUUUUCAAUUUUUCGUUUGCAAUUUUUUUUAAUUAAUUUUCUUGCGUUACUUAACUGAAUUAUUUCUUUUCUUUGCAGGAACUUUUGGUUAUUUCCACCCUUGAAGUUGAUUGCAGAAUUUUAGCUUGGGGGGGUCAUCGCUUGAUUUUACUGCAAACUAGGGAAGUUUUCAGUCCACUUGUUUUAUUUUGUUUCUUAUUAUUUAUUUUAUUUUAUUUUUUUUAUUUGCAUUAUAGUGUUUUCUGACAUUGGGGACAAUGUCAAGUUUAAGUGUGGGGGUAGAAAUCUCUAGAAUUUCAUUUGUUUCUGUGUUGUUAGUUUUUGUUUUCUAAAAAAAAAAAAAAUAAAUAAAAAAAUAAAUAAAUAAAUAAAAAAAAAAAAAAUCGGAAAAUUUAAAAAAUCCAAAAAUAUUGUCUUGUUUCCCUUAUUGUUUUGAAUUAGAUUUUUUGUUAGUUUCCCUACCCAAUGAUAUAAUUGGAUCAAAUUUGAACCAUGAUCAUCAAGAACUUAGUUAACAUGUGUUUUGUGAAAUUCCUAAUUCUCUUGUUAGUUUUGUACAUGUUUGAUCAUCUUUGAAAAACCAAAUGCACAUAGCCUUGUUAAUGUGAAACUAAAGUAUGACUUAAAGCUUCAUAUGUGAAUUUAGUGACCAUAUACAUCCUAUGUGAGUUUUUGAGCCGAUUGAAAGUGUGUGCAUUUUUCAUACACUCCUAUUCUUUCAUGUGUGAUGAACUUAUAUGAGAUACAUCUCUAGAACUUGCGUAACGAUCUUUCAAAAUGUUUGUCAUUGAUUGCAUGAACUUGGAAAUGAUAGAGGCAUUAGGUUUACCACUAUGGCCCAAAUAACCAUGUUUCCCAAAGAAAAAUGAUAUCAUUAGAUUGCCAAUUUGAGCCGUGUAUGUUGAGCCUUUUAUUUCUUAUCACCAGAUAUGUCUACCCUUAUGCCUGAAACAUUUUUCCUUACCCUUUCCAAGCAAGCUAGUGAGCAAUGCGGGAUUGUCUUAUGAGAAAUGUUUGUGAAGUACUUUGAAGGUGUCUGGCAAAAGAAUAAGUGUGGGGGUAUUUCAUGUUUGUAUUUAAAAAAAAAAAAAAAAAAAAAAGAAAAGAAAAAGAAAGAUUGUAUACAAAGAAAAUAAAAAGUUUUUAAAGUUUCAGUUUAAGAGUGUGGUUGGAGGUGCUAGAAGAAUCGCUGGAAAUAUUGAGUUCUUAUAAAUCUAAACAAAAGAACUGCUUGUAGCUUGGAACUUGUGUUUACCUAUUCUUUCAUUUCAAUAACCCUCUCCCUAAACCUCAUUACGUCCAAUAAAAGUCCUCUUGAUUUAAGUUUUGCAAUUAUGAUUGUGGAGAUGAGAUCUUUAUGCAAGCUUAUGGUAGAAAUUUCACAUUUGAUUCUUUGAGCGAAACACAUUAAAACUAAACACAUGUGUGAUUGAGUGCAUAUCUCGUGAGAAUGUCGCUAGUUUGCAUAUGAUGAUUUUAAAAAUAAAAACUUGAAAUUGCAUUAGCAUGGCUAUCUCACACACUACACUUCAAGGAUGAUUCAAAGAUUACUGCUAAUAUUUGAAUAAGGAAGAUAAACUUGGAUUAGUUUCUUGAUGCUAGCUAUGGUUCUUGAUGAUUUGUUUUCUUAAAUGAAAUUCUAUGAGGGUCACAUAGGGGGAAGCUAAUGUUUUUCUUGUUACUUCUUGUUCUUAUUUUCUUUGUUUUGCUCGAGGACUAGCAAAAGUUAAGUGUGGGGGUAUUUGAUCGGAUCAUAUUUAUAUAUAUUUUUACUUCGAAUUCACUCGUCUUUUCUUGGUUAGUUCCUUAUAUUUUUGAGCUAUUUACGUUAUUUUUGUGUUUAUAGGAUCUGUUAUGCAAAUUUACCCUUUAUUGUCACAUGAUAAUACUAAUUUACAUUUUAUAAACAAUGUUUGUCCCUCUCAUUAUUAUGAUGUUUGCAAAGGAAGAGAAGAAAGAAGAAUAAAAUAAAAGGAAUCCAAGAGAGGAGUGCGGGAGACAGCGUGACACGCGGGGAGGACAGCAAGUCAAAGUGGACAGCACGCUGGGGGAGUCAAAGCAGGAAAAAGAAGGCAGAAAACUGGAAGAGGGACACGGCAUAAUUAAAAGGAAGGAAUCCAAACAUGGGCAGUGAAGGAAAGAAAAGACGGGAUCCAAGGAAAUAAUAGAAGAAGGGGAUGUGGAGAGUCCACGCGGGGGAUAUAGGUCAGCAGCAGAAAGAAAAAUAAGGGGGGGAGACGGACAAGAAGGAAGGCAGAGGCUGCCAUUUGGCAGCAGAGAGCAGGAAGCGGCAUAGUGAGAAGGCAGAGAGCUGCCCUUUGGGCAGCCUUGCCUGACGAGAAGAAGGAGUGAGACGCGAGGGAGUGACGCGAGGCAGAGACGCAAGGGGAAGGACAGUACAGGGCGGCUCGCAGACAGCAUCAGGAAGAAAGUCAGGCAGGGCUGAAGUGGUUACAGAGGGCACGAACGCAGCAGAUCCUUUCUUUCGGUUUAAUCUUUCCAAACUCCUAUUUUAUUUCUGUUUUAAUAAUGUGUAAUUAAAUUUAUUUUGGCUAGAGGUUAAUUCAAAACCAUGAAUAUAUUUGUAAUAUGAAUUGAUUACCUUCGGUUGUGAUUUCAUAAGUUGUGAUUUCAAUUUACUUAUCCGUUCGUAUAAAAACUUAUUUGUGUAUGUUGGUUGAGAGUGCACGCUUAAUUUACAUGCAUGAAUUUGAUGCUAGAAUAU